GGGUAUAUAGUUCAGUGGUAGAGUGUGUGCCUAGCAUGCACAAGGUCCAGGGUUCAAUCCCCAGUACUUCCA
rnacentral:tRNA from 1 species